rnacentral:rRNA from 1 species
AGAGUUUGAUCCUGGCUCAGAACGAACGCUGGCGGCAGGCUUAACACAUGCAAGUCGAGCGCCCCGCAAGGGGAGCGGCAGACGGGUGAGUAACGCGUGGGAACGUACCUUUUGCUACGGAAUAACUCAGGGAAACUUGUGCUAAUACCGUAUGUGCCCUUCGGGGGAAAGAUUUAUCGGCAAAGGAUCGGCCCGCGUUGGAUUAGCUAGUUGGUGAGGUAAAGGCUCACCAAGGCGACGAUCCAUAGCUGGUCUGAGAGGAUGAUCAGCCACACUGGGACUGAGACACGGCCCAGACUCCUACGGGAGGCAGCAGUGGGGAAUAUUGGACAAUGGGCGCAAGCCUGAUCCAGCCAUGCCGCGUGAGUGAUGAAGGCCCUAGGGUUGUAAAGCUCUUUCACCGGUGAAGAUAAUGACGGUAACCGGAGAAGAAGCCCCGGCUAACUUCGUGCCAGCAGCCGCGGUAAUACGAAGGGGGCUAGCGUUGUUCGGAUUUACUGGGCGUAAAGCGCACGUAGGCGGACUUUUAAGUCAGGGGUGAAAUCCCGGGGCUCAACCCCGGAACUGCCUUUGAUACUGGAAGUCUUGAGUAUGGUAGAGGUGAGUGGAAUUCCGAGUGUAGAGGUGAAAUUCGUAGAUAUUCGGAGGAACACCAGUGGCGAAGGCGGCUCACUGGACCAUUACUGACGCUGAGGUGCGA